rnacentral:rRNA from 1 species
CGUACGACGAGUUUGAUCAUGGCUCAGAUUGAACGCUGGCGGCAGGCCUAACACAUGCAAGUCGAGCGAGAAAGGUCUUCGGACUGAGUACAGCGGCGGACGGGUGAGUAAAGCGUAGGAAUCUACCUGGUAGUGGGGGAUAACUUGGGGAAACUCAAACUAAUACCGCAUACGCCCUACGGGGGAAAGCGGGGGACCUUCGGGCCUCGCGCUAUCAGAUGAGCCUGCGUAGGAUUAGCUAGUUGGUGAGGUAAAGGCUCACCAAGGCGACGAUCCUUAGCUGGUCUGAGAGGAUGAUCAGCCACACUGGGAUUGAGACACGGCCCAGACUCCUACGGGAGGCAGCAGUGGGGAAUAUUGCGCAAUGGGCGAAAGCCUGACGCAGCCAUGCCGCGUGUGUGAAGAAGGCCUUAGGGUUGUAAAGCACUUUCAAUUGGGAAGAAAAGUUGGUCGUUAAUAGCGGCCAGCCCUGACAUUACCUUUAGAAGAAGGACCGGCUAACUCCGUG